GUUUCUAUAUACUUUUGUAUGUAGAAUGGGAGAUAAUUGGCCACUUCCGGUUUGUUGGAAGUCAUUUUUAGUCUUCAGUAAUUUGUUCAUGUAUCUAUAUGAAAAAAUAUAUGGAUUCUGAGUACUUUUAUGUGAAAAAAUUGCAAAAAAAGCUACUUCCGGUUUUCUCAAGGUCACUUCCGGUAGCCAUUUUUCAAGGUCAUUUGUCACUUAACCUUUUGUAUCAGGUCAAAUGUCUUUAUAAUGAACUUACUUGAAGUUAUAAUCAAAUAACCUCAUAUCAAGACAUUUCAGGGGCGACAACUCCUAUAAGAUGCCAUCUAAUUGUAUAAGACUAAAUGUAGCAUAUCUUCAUUACAAUUAAGCAGACAUUUUGCACUUGUUCUUUUAUAUGUAUCUCUCAAAGUGAGUGAGAAAAUGCAAAAACAAGCAAAAGUCACAAUUGAGAACUUGACCUUGACCUUUGACCUUGACCUCAUUUUCUAAGUUAGGACCUAGGGGACUCAAAUAAAAACAUUCCAGGGUUAUACGGUUAAUCUGUUUAAUGAGUUAAAUAAACAUACCGACAAAUUUAUUUUGUAAAGGUAGAUAACUCCUAUAAAAUUUCAUCGAAUCGCUUCGAUCCAAAUACGCCAAAAAUUACUGAGGAUGUAACGAACAAUUUGUAAAAAGAAUUUUGUCGCUAUCUUUUUUUGUUACGAAGGAGAUACGCUUUGAUGAUAAACAGUGAAAAGGGAGAUAACUCUUACAAAGAAAAUGGUUCGUCUUAGCAGGGUGAAAUUUAAAAGCGCAUAAACUAUACGAUACAAUAUGAGAAAUAUCUAAGCGACAUAUUGCGAAACAAACAUUUAUCGCAAGAACAAAAGUUGGCGGAAAAAAAAAAAAAAAUAAUAAUAAUAUAAAUCAAUUGCUUUAAAAAGCAAUUGUAGGGGGUCUUUCCCCUUUAAAAUUAAUUGAAUGGGGGGGGGUUGUUUGUUUGUUUGUUUGUUUGUUUGUUUGUUUGUUUGUUUGUUUCUGUAUGGGGUCUAUAUUAUUGUUACCGGAGAAGUUUCAUGUUUAGUUUGGAAAGUUUUUCUUUUAUUUUAGGUACAGCGCGCGCGCCACAUCACGUGACACGGGAUUAUAAUAACGAAAAGAUAGUCUUUUUAUUCCUUUUUAGGUGGGGACUUUGAACAGACAACAUGUAUAGAGACGGAAUGCACACAAUGUAAUUUCUUUUGUCAUUGUAGGAAAUUGACAUUUUGAUGACAGUUCACAAGCAGUGCAUGAUUUGGAUUUAUUUGAUCCGGUGUAACUUUAAAACACAUUUAUUGAUUAUUUUCUGAUAAUGUACAUUUUUCAGCACCUGUUUGUAACACAGAUUAGUAUUUCAAUCUCGGAGCGGACAUUUUAUUGUAGGCUUUUACUGAAAAUUUACGGACCUAGCAAGCAAUUUUUACGGCAUUGCAAUUUCUUUUCUCUAGGAAAAGCUUUGAGAGAUAUCUGCACCAAGUUUUUUUAUAAACUUUUAGUACAUGUAUGCCCUGCUGACUGCAAAUUUUGAGGUCGAUUGUAUUUGUAGUUUCAGAGUACAUGUGGAUUUUUUUUUCAGAAGUGACGCAAGAACA
rnacentral:lncRNA from 1 species